CCCGUGCUGGAGGUGACCCAGCCGGGGGCGGUUGCUCCCCGCGCCGGCCGCCGGGAUGUGCCCCGGGAGCGGCGGCAUCUUUCCUGCCCCGAUACCGCUUUGGAGACCCCAAGGCCUGGCUGAGGUGUGAGACUCACUCCUGGCCGAGCUCCGGCCUCGCUGGGUAGUGAAGGUAACAGAUACAUGCAUGGACAGAACCUUGUGAAAAAGAAAUCUACCAGAAGAUUGGUCCAUCAACUCAUUGCUAAGGUCCUCUGCCACUGAGGGGAUACACAAAAGAAACUGGGAGAGAGCAUAGCUGGGACAGGUGACCCAGACUGACCAAAGUGAUAUUCCACACCAAAGAACAUCAUGCCUGGCAUAUAAACUGGGGGAAGUUGCCUGGAAGGGAGGAUUAUCUGUGUUCAGGAAGGGGAGUCUGGUAUUGGUCAGCAGAAGAAGUAGGGAUGCUUGCCCCCACAUUGAGAUUCUUCAAACAGGCUCUUCAUUCACCACUCAGAGAAAGGAGCAGCUGUUCAAGCAGUUAUCAGAGACAGUGCCUUUCACAAAACAUGGAGAAUAGGCCAGUUACAGCUACAACCAUCCCAGAAGGCUGCAAUAGAGAAGUCUGUGGAAUUACCUCUGUUGUCCCGGCAGUGUCCAGUGUAGAACGUCUCUCUGCGUAGGAUGAUUUCUUGGGCAAUGAUCCCAUAGCUGUAUACAUCACCCUUCUGAGAUACAUCAGCAUGCCGCAGAUGUUCAGGAGCUGUCCACAGGUCUGAAGAUCCAGAUGGCAAUGUGGGACAAUGUAAAGAGGAGAAAAAUAAUUGCAAAAAGGGUGAUCCUUCUCACACCAUCCACUGGCUAUAAUGACAUUUCCUUUUACUCUUUUCAUAUCCAAUCCAGAGCCCACUAGUAUUGUAGUUCCUAGUUUAGCAUUUGUCUUGAGAAGCUGACAUCAAUACAGGUUAGAUAAACCUCUGAUGUAGUUUUCAAUUUUCUGGGAUUUGCUGACCCUGCUACUUUCCACCAUAGAUGCAGACUCCUAGUCAUUCAAAAAAGUUAUGUUUAUUGGCAAUGAACUUGCUUUUCUUAGCUAUGUUUCACAGACUUCUUAGAAAUAGCCUCCGUAUCUAGAUAAGACCGAGGAAUGCCAGUGCUAUAAUAAAAAAAAACCCUGAGCCAUAAAUUAUUCAGCUAGGAGAUGCAAGGAGUUUUUUGUACACAAUGUCUGAUAAGAAGACUGCAAUAUUUCCCAAUGGCCUUGAUAUCAUGAGGCUAUUGAAAUAAUUCUCAAGUGCUUUUGAGCCUGACAUAGUAUUACCUGCUCAUAACUACUUGAUUUCUACAGAAAUUAUUAAUCUGUAUUUCUAGUGCAAUGGGCACCAUUGUAUCUCAGAACCAGAAUGCUGCCAUGGUACAACAGCUGUGACAUGCUGAUGACAUACCAUAACAGUGACCUGAACACAGUGACCCUGAAGACAGUGUUAUGAUAUUAGGCUGUAACAUCCAGCCACAAUCAAUCUGUUGAUCUCUUGUGAAACAGUGAGUUUUCUUCAAGGACAUAGACUGAGUAGCCAGAGAUUUUGAGGCUGCUUACAAGCAAUAAAAAAAGAUUAUUACAAUGUAAUAAUAAUAAUACAAAAUUAAAUUUAAAAAUUGCAAAAUAUUAAAAUUGUAAAAUGAAGAAUGAAUAGAACAUUUAUGUUCAGUGCACUUUUCUUAGGCAUUUUUUAUAUUCUUAUUGCUACUCUUGAGUAUGUUUGUGUCUGAAUGUAAAAAGUUUCUCCAAAUCAGUUGCAACCAGUUUGUUUUCAAGUCAUAUGCUGCAGUUACAGCACAGCGCUGUCCUUAUUAUACUCCAAGCUCUACUCUACAGAUUAAUAUGACAUAAUUUCAGGUGGACUCAUCUUUUCACUCCAGAUCAAGUAAGAAGGAAAAGCUGAGUAGAAAGGAGUGUUCUAUUUUACAGAAAUAUUCUAUGAAUUUGAGGUGAAUAGAAAAUGUGAAGAAAAGCUAUUAAUAUUAUUCCAAUCUGGUUGAGCAUAUAUUACUAAAUUCCAAACUAAGGCAUAAGAAACAGAGUUAUCAUCACGUAUCAAUACAGAUUUCUUCAAGGAUUAUCAGAGUCAUGCGUGUUAAUGUUAAUGAUAUCACAGAGCACUGUGGUAACACAUGUAUCUAAUCAAUUACAAGAUUUAUGGUAAAUAAAUUCUUCACACAAUUUCAGUACUACUGCUGAAAAGGGCUGUUUGCAUGAAGGACUUGGAUACUGAAAAUGUUUCUUACAUCUCAAUCCCAGAAUUGAAUUACAGCCAAAAUCAGUGAUCUUUACUACCAUGCGAUUGUCUACUACACAGUUUGUGGAUUUGAGUCGACCAUGGACUUCAGUUUUGCUUGAGUGCAGCAGCUUCAAACAAGGACAUACCAAGGGGAAUAUUUGAAAGAUGUUUCAGAUCCACUGACAACAUGGCAUGUUAUGGGGCCCAAGGGAUGGAUGAGAAUGGGACUGGAGCAACAUCAAGAAGACAGGAGCCAGAAAGCACAGAGCUCAUGGAGCUGGUAGGGAGACCCUGUGGCUGAUGUGUGCACAGACAGCAGUCAUGGUCAUAAUAAGAGAAACCAGAGAUUUGACCAGGGAUAAGAAAUCAAAGCUCCACUGAAAUCCCUCUACUCUUAGUGGGAGUAGAAAAAUUUUCUGGAGUCUUAUCAAAGCUGCUGCCUCUUCCUGGUAUCUCCCAUGAGUCCCUUACAAUGAACCACUAUUCUCUUAUGAAGGAUAAGGCCUAAUUUGAGGGCAUCUGAUUUACUUUACUAAGGAAUAAAAAUGUUUAAACCCAUUUUACCACCUUACUGUGAAUGGACUCUCAGCUAGCAGAAGGUGUUUGUCUCUCCAGUUAUGAUUUGCCUACUCCCUAAUGGAGGCAAGCAGUACAGUAAAUUAUUGGGAAGGCUUUAGCAGAGACUUUUAACAGCACCAUCACUGGAUUUUCACUGGUGAAAUGACUCAGGUGAACACUAACCCACUGUGCACUAAUCCUUGUGAUUACUGCCACUGCAAUAAUUUUUAUUCUGCAUAUCAUACCCUGAAGCAUAUGCCCUUCCAUUGUCAAUUACCAUGUGGCAGCAGUCUUAAAGGGGGAAACAAUCUCAAGCUGAUCAGAUUGACAAGGCUGUACUCUCCUACGCUGAAA